rnacentral:sRNA from 1 species
GGCGCCCUGAGAGGACCAGGACAUGCCGGUGUGGUGGCUGCUCUUUUGGCUCCUCCUGCUGGGAUUUAUCAGCCAUCACCCCACCUAUGUUAUCAAUUCUCCACCUGAUCAUUUUCAUCCUGGGACUGACUUUUGUGGAAUUCCUUGGAUAGUUAUCAUUAUUGUGUUUCUGGGAAUUUCUACACUUGCUAUUUUCCUCUGGAAAACUAGCCUUUGU